UCUCACUCCAAGACGUGUACUGCUUCUACAAACACGUGUAACCCUUACCUCUCCCACUGAACUAAAUGGUUAAUACCUAAUUCCAUCUCCUCAUUCUCUCGCUUCUCUCCCUUCCUCUCUUACUUACACUUCUCUGUUACUAACUAAUAAAUAAAGGGUCACUUAGGCACAGGCUAUGGAGGCCCAAUUCCAAAUAAUAAUAGAGAAAUGUCACUAAGACGAUAGAUUGUGCAUUAGGAUUUAGGAGUACAAACAUGAGGUAAUCUAUAAGGCAGAGAUCUAUCAUCUGGCAGCACCAAAGUAUUACUACUGUUUGUCUAAAUAAACAGGGAAAAUCAGAUACAAUCCAAACUGGCAUGGAGUUCUUUUUUUGAUCCAUUUUUCUAUUCGUGAGCUUCAUUCGCCACUUUCGACACUUUAAUGAGUGAACUGGAAAGACAUUGCAGUUGUAGGAACAUGCAAUAGUUUUAUGGCUUCGGUUUCAAAUAGAAGAUCAUUUUCUUUUUUGUUACACCAUUAGGCCACAAUAAAUUUCUCUUUGAGUUCCCAUCAAGGCUUGAAGCGGUGCGAAUCAUAGCCGGUGAGUGGUUCUGGAAUGGCAGGCGUCUCGCGCUUCAAUGGUGGUCGCCGGAAAUGGUGCAGCUCCGACCAACAACAAAUCUGUGCAAAAAUGGAUAAAGGCUUUUGGUAUACCAUUGCAUGCAUGGAACCCCAAUUCCUUUCGGUUUAUUGGAGACAACUGUGGUGGCUUCAUUGACACUGAUGAAGACACGAAGCUUAGAUCACA